AGGUGAUAACGAGGCGGCUUGCCGCCGAAGUGAGUGAUACCCUGCUUCCAGGAAAAGCCACUAAGCUUCAGCUACACACGACCGUACCGCAAACCGACACUGGUGCGCGAGAUGAGUAUUCUAAGGCGCUUGAGAGAACUCGGGAGAAGGAACUCGGCAAAUUGACACCGUAACUUCGGAAGAAGGUGUGCCCUUAGUAGGUGAAGUCCCUCGCGGAUGGAGCCCAAUGGGGUUGCAAAAAAUCGGUGGCUGCGACUGUUUAAUAAAAACACAGCACUCUGCAAACACGAAAGUGGACGUAUAGGGUGUGACGCCUGCCCGGUGCUGGAAGAUUAAGUGAUGGGGUGCAAGCUCUUGAUCGAAGUCCCAGUAAACGGCGGCCGUAACUAUAACGGUCCUAAGGUAGCGAAAUUCCUUGUCGGGUAAGUUCCGACCUGCACGAAUGGCGUAACGAUGGCCACACUGUCUCCUCCCGAGACUCAGCGAAGUUGAAAUGUUUGUGAUGAUGCAAUCUCCCCGCGGAAAGACGGAAAGACCCCAUGAACCUUUACUGUAGCUUUGUAUUGGACUUUGAACAGAUCUGUGUAGGAUAGGUGGGAGGCUUUGAAGCAGGGUCGCUAGAUCUUGUGGAGCCAACGUUGAAAUACCACCCUGGUGUGUUUGAGGUUCUAACCUAGGCCCGUUAUCCGGGCUGGGGACAGUGCAUGGUAGGCAGUUUGACUGGGGCGGUCUCCUCCCAAAGCGUAACGGAGGAGUUCGAAGGUACGCUAGUUACGGUCGGACAUCGUGACGAUAGUGCAAUGGCAUAAGCGUGCUUAACUGCGAGACUGACAAGUCGAGCAGAUGCGAAAGCAGGACAUAGUGAUCCGGUGGUUCUGUAUGGAAGGGCCAUCGCUCAACGGAUAAAAGGUACUCUGGGGAUAACAGGCUGAUACCGCCCAAGAGUUCAUAUCGACGGCGGUGUUUGGCACCUCGAUGUCGGCUCAUCUCAUCCUGGGGCUGUAGCCGGUCCCAAGGGUAUGGCUGUUCGCCAUUUAAAGAGGUACGUGAGCUGGGUUUAAAACGUCGUGAGACAGUUUGGUCCCUAUCUUCCGUGGGCGCUGCAGAUUUGAAGAAGCCUGCUCCUAGUACGAGAGGACCGGAGUGGACGCACCUCUGGUGUAUCGGUUGUCACGCCAGUGGCAUUGCCGAGUAGCUAUGUGCGGAAGAGAUAACCGCUGAAAGCAUCUAAGCGGGAAACUCGUUCUAAGAUGAGAUCUGCCGGGGCCUCGAGCCCCCUGAAGAGUCGUUCAAGACCAGGACGUUGAUAGGUCGGGUGUGGAAGCGCAGCAAUGCGUUAAGCUAACCGAUACUAAUUGCUCGUGCGGCUUGACCCU
rnacentral:rRNA from 1 species